rnacentral:misc_RNA from 1 species
AUCAUUCAUUCAUUCAUUAGUUCAAAGUAUACUCUGUCAAACACAACACGCGUAUAUAUUAUAGUGUCAGCACCACCCUAACUAAAGGGUGGGCGCGACCUACAACAAAGACUUGUAAUGAUCCUUCCGCAGGUUCACCUACGGAAA